GUAGUAUUUGUCUUGCUAAGAUGACGCCGAAGAGCAUGGCUGACAUUUUACAUGCCCGUAACCAAUUGUGCUAUUCUGUUAGUUUUUUUGCAUUGUUUGUAACGUAGUUUUUAAAACUUAUUUUGAACAUAAUGUUGCUGCUACUGUCUCUUAUGACCGAAAAUAACUUCUGGAGAUCAGAACUGGGAUUACAUACCACGAACUGGAAGAAGCUUUUUCCUUUAACGAGUCUGACAAGAAAGAUAUACUGCUCUCCCGGGAACAGGCUCAGAUCCUCGUCAUUUGCGUGAAGAAAAGACAGAGGAAAAGAGGAUGCAGAUCAGGCUACCUUUUGAGAAUCCGUAGGCGAGCGAGUAAACUCCCACUGCCAUCAAUUCUACUUGCUAACAUGCAAUCAUUUGAAAAUAAAAUUGAUGACCUACGAUUACGAUUAUCCUACCAACGGGACAUUAAGAACUGUAAUAUCUUAUGUUUCACAGAGUCGUGGCUGAACGACGACAGGGAUAAUAUAGAGCUGGAAGGAUUUUCAAUGCACCGGCAGAACAGAGAAGCUACGUCUGAUGGUCGCAUGCGGUUGGACACAUGGAGGAGAGAAUCAUUUUCGCAGUAUCCUCAAAACCGUGUCUUUUUGACACAACUGCUGACAGCUACAGGGACAUAAACACAAAAAAUCCUGCUUGGAGACAAGUGUCCACGAUAGUAGGAUUGCCAGGUCAGUUUAGUAGUGGGCAUGUGCCAGAUGUGGCUAGUUAACGUGACCCACAACAAUGGGUCCUGGAGAAGACUAGCCUACCUUCAUCAGAGCAGAAGGCACCCCAAUGUUCUUUCCAUUUGGUAACAUUGCAUAAUUAAAAAAGGAUUCUAAACCAACUUUGGGAAAAGUUAUAGUCCUAAUGAACAUUCUGUAAAAGUACAUCUGAUGUCAAAUAGGGACUAUUAACUAGAGAGCCCUUUAGCUAGCUAGGUUGCACAUAAAAACAAUGUAUCAAAUAUAAAUCAAUUAUGGUAUCAAAGGCUUUAAAAAUGUACUAGAAUGUAGCUUACCGUAGACAAAUCACCAGGCGUUCAACUGGGCUGAUGGACUCCCGGUAGUUGGUAUCCAUCCGGAUGAUCCUGGCUCCAACCAUCUGAAGCAGGUGAUCGAACUGGCUUCGGUCCAGACGAAAGUAACUUCGGAAUUCCUCUCCAAGCAGUCGAAGCUCUUGAAUGAGACGGUGGAACUCCUCUGCCUGCUUUCGGGACUUUAACCAUCUCUGGACCCAUACAGACCUGCGCUUUCGGCGGGGCUGAUCCCGGCCCAACAGCGCGAUCAAGACCACCUUCCUCAACGUUGGUCUCAUUGUUGAAAGAGCCGACUCUGCUAUCUUGACUAUUAUGCAUUUUGCUCCAAAGCUGCAUUUUGGAGGGAAAUUAUAUUAUAGGCUCUCACAAUUAAUUUGUGGAUGUCAUCGAAUAAAUAAUAUACUUGGCAAAUAAAUGAAUAAAAAAAUGUAAAGAAA
rnacentral:lncRNA from 1 species